ensembl:lncRNA
AGCGUGGAGACAAUUCUUCCUCUGCAGAUUUUGAAGGCACCGUGAAGGUAGAAAGUGUGUGUGAGCUGAUUUGGAUUGAGCAGCAUGGAUCAGUGUGAGGACAGAGAGGAGGGAGCCCCUCCCUCUAAAAGAGCCAGAGAGAGCCAGACCAAAGCUCAGAGGAACCCACCUGGACCUCCACCCAGAGAGCAUGACAAGUCUAAAAGCCCUCCCAUAGAAGACCUGCCUGUGUCUGCUGCAGAGAGGACCCAUGGGACUCCAGCUGGACUUGAAGCUGGACCCAGCUGUGUGUCCUUCAAGAGUGACCGGUCUAGACGUCAGCCCAUUGAUUUUAAAGUCCAGCAGGUGUCUGCUGCAGAGAG